UCAUGAUGCUGACAUGGUAGUUCACAGUGCACUCAUCUCGACAGGUUAACUAUGAGGGGUUGUUCUGAUAUCAGAUCGCUUCCUGAAGUUAAAACGUUGAAGAGAUCGAACAUCAAAAGUUGCAUAAGUCUUGGAUUAUUCCAAAAUAUUAUUGUAUACAUCACUUGAAUCCUUGAGAAUAGAGGGCAGUGAGUGUCAUCCGGUUUUAGAAUUAUGUUUGCCAUUAGGAUCGUUUCCUUUGCUAAAACGUGCUACUAUAGAGGGAUGUGAAGACUUGAAGUUUAUUGGUGCUUUAGGGGGCAUUCAACGCCACCAUCCAGCGUGUCUCGAUUCUUUGUUCAUCGAACACUGCCCAAAUUUGAUAUCGUUGAGAAUUGAAGACGGAUUAUGUGUCACCAAUUUGACGGAACUUUGGCUUCAUGAUUGCAGAAGUUUAAAGUCAUUGCCGGAGCAAAUGAACUCCGCCUUUCCUUCGUUGGUGUCGUUGAAAAUCUUCAACUGUCCGAAGCUUCAGUCCAUACCGGCAAAGACAUUCCUCCCCUCCCUUUCUCGUCUGGAGAUUCGAGGUUGUCCGUUGCUGAAAAAACAUUGCCAAAAGGAGAAAGGCAGAGAUUGGCCCAACAUUUCCCACAUCCCUCUCAUUAGAAUUGACGGUGAACUCAUUACAUAGAAAGGCAAGGAUGGAGAUUAGAUGUUGAACU